GACGAACGCUGGCGGCGUGCUUAACACAUGCAAGUCGAACGGUGAAGCUCCAGCUUGCUGGAGUGGAUCAGUGGCGAACGGGUGAGUAACACGUGAGCAACCGCCCCUGACUCUGGAAUAAGCGCUGGAAACGGCGUCUAAUACUGGAUACGAGAAGGGUCCGCAUGGGCACUUUCUGGAAAGUUUUUCGGUUGGGGAUGGGCUCGCGGCCUAUCAGCUUGUUGGUGAGGUAAUGGCUCACCAAGGCGACGACGGGUAGCCGGCCUGAGAGGGCGACCGGCCACACUGGGACUGAGACACGGCCCAGACUCCUACGGGAGGCAGCAGUGGGGAAUAUUGCACAAUGGGCGAAAGCCUGAUGCAGCGACGCCGCGUGAGGGAUGACGGCCUUCGGGUUGUAAACCUCUUUCAGCAGGGAAGAAGCGAAAGUGACGGUACCUGCAGAAGAAGCACCGGCUAACUACGUG
rnacentral:rRNA from 1 species